GUAAGGGAUAUUGCGCAAUGGGCGAAAGCCUGACGCAGCAACGCCGCGUGCCCGAUGAAGGCCUUCGGGUCGUAAAGGGCUUUUCUGGCUGAAGAGGAAGGACGGUAAGCCAGGAAAAAGUGUCGGCUAACUACGUGCCAGCAGCCGCGGUAAAACGUAGGACGCGAGCGUUAUCCGGAGUUACUGGGCGUAAAGGGCGGGCAGGCGGCCAAGCAAGAUGGGCGUGAAAUCUCCCGGCUCAACUGGGAGGGGCCGCUCGUGACUGUUUGGCUAGAGAACGACAGAGGCGCGUGGAAUUCCGGGUGGAGUGGUGAAAUGCGUAGAGAUCCGGAGGAACACCAGAGGCGAAAGCGGCGCGCUGGGUCGUGACUGACGCUGAACCGCGAAAGCUAGGGUAGCGAACGGGAUUAGAUACCCCUGUAGUCC
rnacentral:rRNA from 1 species